rnacentral:lncRNA from 1 species
GGAAGUGAAGUCUUUGAUUUGUCCACCGAGGAAGAGGAAGCACGAAGUCUUUGAUCUGUCCAGAGGGUAAGUCCUUGGUCUGUCCCACUCUUCCUUUUCUAUGUGAUGGUGACCUCCAUGUGUUAUCUGGAAACUUUGGUUCAUAUACCAUUCUUGUGAUUUUCCAAUGCUAUGUCAAUAAAUUAAUCUGUAACAUUUAAUGAAUUCAAUGUAUGAUUGUGAUGAGAAUGAAUGAAUGAAUGAUAUCAUGCCAACUUGUUUUUGUCCUUGAUCAGUAUCAUUUGUGGUAGCUCCUAGGCAACAUGUGCCUUUUCUUGCUCCGAGUUCCUAAGUAUGGUUUUGUACUUUUGUUAACUAGACAAACACAAUUUUAAAUUUGGUGAACAUCAGUAGCUAACUUUGUUGUGUUUGAUUGAUGUUCUGCUAGCUGCUACUGUUAAUUGUUACUGCCAUCAUAUUGCCACUGCUUAGAAUAUGUUUUGUGCCUUAAUUCUAGUAGUAUUUGCUGUCAAAAACAUGAUUGUAUUGUGAGCCAUGAAGUUCUUGGAGUUUUCUUAGAGCUUGCUGGUAUUUAUUUUUUUCCACCAAUAUAAUAUUUGCUAAUAUUUAGUCAUGGUUGCUACUGUUAUCUGUGCCCUCAUGCUUCAGGAUCCACUCCUAGCUGCUUGUGUAUUUGUUUAUUAUUCUGUUCAAUUCUUUUCCUAGCUGUUGUAUGUUGGAGGAUAUUGCAGGAUAAUGAUUGUUUACUGUCUUUUGCAGGAGCUCUAGGCUGUAGCUGGAAAAAGGGAACACUUCAUAUUUGUAGCCAUUGUAUUUGUUGGAGGAUAUUGCAGGAUAAUGAUCGUUUCCUGAAUGGUUGUUCUAUGCUUCAUAGCAGCACACUUUUGUAGCUGUUCUAAAUUCCUGGAUGAUGUGGACUAUGGCAUGACUGUAAUAUAUAUAAUGUACUCAUUUUGGUUGUCGUUUGUGAAAAUUUGUGUGAUUGGGGCUCUGCUGAUCGAAAUAUUGAUUAUUUAUUGCUGAUACUUUAUUGUUGAUACGUCGGAAACGAAACAAAUACUAUUUGGGCCCUAAAAGGCCACAAAUCAAACAAUUCAGGAAAAAUUGAAAAAAAAUUACUAAAAAAA